rnacentral:tRNA from 1 species
GUGUCUGUAAUUUAAAAAAAAUAUCAAGCUGUGACCUUGAAUAUAGAGACCUGCUCUCAUACACC